CACGCUGGACCCGUGCACAAGUCUCCUGGAAUGGAGCGUCAUAGAGGGUGAGAAUCCCGUCUUUGGCACGGAUACCCGGAGCUUUUGUGAUGCGCUCUCGAAGAGUCGAGUUGUUUGGGAAUGCAGCUCAAAAUGGGUGGUGAACUCCAUCUAAAGCUAAAUAUUGGCGAGAGACCGAUAGCGAACAAGUACCGUGAGGGAAAGAUGAAAAGCACUUUGGAAAGAGAGUGAAACAGUACGUGAAAUUGUUGAAAGGGAAACGCUUGAAGUCAGUCGCGUCGACCAAGACUCAGCCUCGCCUCGGCUUGGUGUAUUUCUUGGCCGACGGGUCAGCAUCGAUUUCGUGCCUCGGAUAAUGGCGAGGGAAAUGUGGCACCUUUUCGGGUGUGUUAUAGUCCCCCGUCGCAUGCGAGGGUCGGGAUCGAGGAACUCAGCACGCACCUCUCGGUGUCGGGGCUUCGGCUCACGCUACGUGCUUAGGAUGCUGGCGUAAUGGCUUUAAACGACCCGUCUUGAAACACGGACCAAGGAGUCUAACAUGCCCGCGAGUGUUCGGGUGGAAAACCCGUGCGCGUAAUGAAAGUAAAAGUUGGGACCUCUGUCGUGGAGGGCACCGACGCCCCGGACCAAGACCUUCUUGUGACGGGAUCUGCCGGUGGAGCGGUGCAUGUUGGGGACCCGAAAAGAUGGGUGAACUAUUGCCUSGAAUAAGGGUGGAAGCCAAGAAGAAA
rnacentral:rRNA from 1 species